rnacentral:lncRNA from 10 species
GCUACGUCCAGCUCCUGGGCCCACUGAAGUGUGAUUUUCAAAGUAUUUAGAUUUCCUUUCUCCAAUAACCCAUACCCACCCCUCUGCUCUGGCCUGUCAACUCCUUCCUCCAGCAACGCUUUCCCCUUCACCAAUGAGCCCUCACUGGACUCCAAGGGGGAAAAGCAAGGGUCCAGGCGGGCGUCCCUUCCCCGAGGACUAGAACAACGCCCACGCAGAGCCCACGCGCGCCUGGGCCCCCCGCGGCAGGUGCCCCACACUCCUCGUCCCCAGGAGCCCUCGCGGACCCCGGGGUCGGCUCGAGGCAAUGCGCUCCGUCCUGGCAGUAACCAGCCCCUCGCUGCGGGAUCCCUGCCUGCCUGGCCUCGGGCCUCCCGCACCCACCGGAUGCCCGCGCACGCUGAGCAGGCCUUGAGGCGUCGGAGACCACGUGGUCCACCCAACGGCCCAACAACGGAGGCAUGAGACAACAAUCCUUGAAUCAGCUCAGUGGAUCAGCUGACACCACCCACACCGAUAAUCUGCCUCAACCAGUUCUGCCAAACCAACCAGGAAGAGUAAAUAGCAAGAAAAACUCCAACAACCUCUGAUUCCAUCUUCAACCUGGCCAAUCAGCACUCCCCACUUCCCAAGCUCCUACCCGCCCAAUUGUCUUUAAAAACUCUGUUCCUCAAAUGCUCGGAGAGACUGAUUUGAGUAAUAAUAAAACUCCAGUCUCCCACACAGCCGGCUCUGCGUGAAUUACUCUUUCUCCAUUGCAAUUCCCUGUCUUGAUAAAUUGGCUCUGUCUAGGCAGCGGGCAAGGUGAACCCAUUAGGUGGUUACAAGUUCAUUAUUUUAUUUUUAAAGAGACAGGAUAUGGCUCUCUUGCCCAAGCUGGAGUGCAGUGGCACAAUCAUGGCUCACUGCAGCCUUGAAUUCCUGGGCUCAGUUGAUCCUCCAUCUUCAGCCUCUCAAGUAGCUGGGACUACAGGCAUGCACCACCACGCCUGGAUAAUUUUUUAAUUUUUUUGUAGAGAUGGGGGUCUCGCUGUGUUGCCCAGGCUGGUGUUGAACUCCUGGGCUCAAGCCAUCCUUCCGCCUCAGCCCCCUGAGCAGCUAGGAUUACAGGCAUGAACCACCACACCAGGCCCUCAGUUGGUCCUUGUUGCCUGCUAAGGGGCCCCUGUCCUCCUGCUUUCUCUAGGCCAGCCUACACCCCUUAAACGCUGUGAGCUGGAAGCCUUGGUGGUGAGGAAGAGUCCUGGACAGUCAUGAAUCCCUGGGUCUUCGUGGCCUCCUGGCAACAUUUCCAUUUGAUCUGCACCUUUUGGAAAGGUUCCUGGUCCUGGAUUUCUUCCCAGCUGGACUUCAACUGGCAGGGCUCUCCGAGUCUAAACGAGUUAAUUUGCUAGUAAGGGAACCAACAAGAUGACAAAAGACUGCAAGAGUUUGGAGAGAGCAUGGAAACUGUGGAGUUAUUAUUUGGGGAACAGAAUGCUCACAUAAGCAUGCAGUUCUAUAAGAAAACUGGAUUGCACGAGGUCCCACAGAUAACAUGCACUUAAACUCUCAGGCAGGAUGGUUGCAGAGGAAAGGUGUGUAGCUGCCAGUCGGGAGAAAAACACAGCUGCAAAGUGCGUGAUGUUCACCUGUUCCUGAAAUUAGGUUGACAAGGCCUCCCCUCCAAUCAAGGCACCUGGUAUGGCCAACUCACCUGAAAGCUCAAGACCUUGCCAAAAAGAGAUGGAAAAUGACAGGAUCUGAUUUAAACAGGAGGUCCUGGCUGGGCGAGGUGGCUCAGGCCUGUAAUCCCAGCACUUUGGGAGGCCGAGGUGGGUGGACCACUUGACGUCAGGAGUUCGAGACCAGCCUGGCUAAUAUGGUGAAGCCCUGUCUCUACUAAAUAUACAAAAAUUAGCCGGGCAUAGUGACAAGCACCUGUAAUUCCAGCUACACAGGAGGCUGAGGCAGGAGAAUCGCUUGAACCAAGGAGGCAGAGGUUGCAGUGAGCUG